CUGGMUCAGUUUUUUAUGCAGCUGUUUGUCAGUGUGACCAACUACGAACCUGCUUACUUUGGACCUGGAACCAAACUCACUGUUUUAGAACCAGGAAUUAACGUCACUGAACCCAAAGUUCAAGUUUUUGGACCUUCAGCUAAAGAAUGCAAAGAUCAGAAGAAGAAAAGGAAGAAGACUYUGGUGUGCGUGGCCUCUGGUUUCUACCCGGAUCAUGUCACUGUGACCUGGAACAUGACCGGGGGAGAACUGGAAGGAGCUGCGGCGACGGACGGUGCAGCUCAGAGAGACGGGGACUCUUACAGGAUCAGCAGCAGACUGAGGGUCCCAGCUGAGCAGUGGUUCAGUAAGGAGACCAACUUCACCUGCACCGUCACCUUCUUUAAUGGGAACAUCACCACUUCUCAUGUUGACUGGAUCACAUCAAAUCAGGAUGAUGCUGGCCUGACUCGAAAGAGAUAUCUGAGCAUCACCCAGAAUGCCAAACUGUCCUACGUUGUUCUGAUYWUGAAGAGCUGCCUGUACGCAGYCUUCGUCUGCUUCCUGGUCUGGAAGCUUCAGAGUUCAGGAAGAAAAGCGAAGAAGUGAGAGCUGAUGUGAUCCUCAGCAGAUCCACGUUUCUGCCUUCGGACAAAUCAAACCGAACAAACUGAAACUUCCUGUUUUUGCUUUUAGCUGAUUCAAUUCUCCAAAUGUUAGGGGUUUUAAAGUUUAUUCAUUUUUUUUAGUUUAUUCAUUUAAAACAAAACAACAUAAAUUCAACAUACAACAAAAAAUCUAA